GGGAAAACAUGGUGUGCAUGGGGUUUCACUAUGAGAGCGAAAGACACUUCAUUAAAAUUUUUGUUGCCCUAAGAUUACUUUUUUUUUUCUUCGGCCGCUGAAAUACAACAUUUUUUUCAUUCUCAUUGAAACUGGCAGGUAAUGGUACCCAAACAAUAUUAAACUGCAGAGAUCGUGUAGUACAAUGUUGUUGCAAAUUGCAACCAAACCAGGUUUGCUUUUAACAAUAACUUUCGUUUACUACCGGUACAAACUUACUGUGACAACUGUACCUUCGUCGUUAUCACCGCUUAAACAAGACCGUCUUAAGCUGUAAUGUUUCAAUAUAUUGAAGUCGAAGUGCUGCCCUUGUGCUCAUUUGACCUGUGUACUCAUGAUUACUUAGUUUGUUUGUAUGAGGUUCCUCUUUUCUGGUGUUCAUUUCUCUGUUCCCUUUAUCGUAACUUCUGUGUUACCUUUAUGAUAACUCUUAACUGCUUGACUAUGUGGUGUGUUGUAGCAUGAUUAUGUAUUCAGAUUUUACAUUAACUAUCAUCAUUAACUAAGUGAUGCAGUACGGAGCCUCCUGUAUGCUCACCUAUCUGU